rnacentral:rRNA from 1 species
AGGACAAACGCUGGCGGCGUGCCUAAGACAUGCAAGUCGAACGGAAGGCUUCGGCCUUGAGUGGCGGACGGGUGAGGAGCGCGUGGAGAACCUGCCCCGGGGUGGGGGAUAACAGUCGGAAACGAUUGCUAAGACCGCAUACGACCAUUCGUUGCAGGAUGAAUGGGGAAAGCAGCGAUGUGCCCGUGGGAGGGCUCCGCGUCGGAUUAGCUAGGUUGGUGGGGUAACGCCUACCAAGGCUGCGAUCCGUAGC